GAUGAAGAACGUAGUGAAAUGCGAUAAGUAAUGUGAAUUGCAGAAUCCAGUGAAUCAUCGAAUCUUUGAACGCACAUUGCGCCCGCCAGCAUUCUGGCGGGCAUGCCUGUUCGAGCGUCAUUUCAACCCUCGACCUCCCUUUGGGGAAGUCGGCGUUGGGGACCGGCAGCACACCGCCGGCCCUGAAAUGGAGUGGCGGCCCGUCCGCGGCGACCUCUGCGUAGUAAACCAACUCGCACCGGAACCCCGACGUGGCCACGCCGUAAAACACCCAACUUCUGAACGUUGACCUCGAAUCAGGUAGGACUACCCGAUGAACUUAAGCAUAUCAAUAAGCGGAGGA
rnacentral:misc_RNA from 1 species